UUGAUAUUUAUGUAUUAAACAAGACUGUACGUUAAAACAGAGUUUUGGUCUUCUGGCAGGCGCGCACCAGCAGCGCCACCAUCAGUAGUAAAUACCGACGGCAUGGCGUGGCGAGUGAGGCGUACCCUUGCGGGCACGCCGUGGCCUGCCGAAGCAACGUGGAGGUAGACAGAGGGUGGGAGGUUGGGCUCGUGAGAACCCAGUCUCGGUAAUGAUCCUUCCGCAGGUUCACCUACGGAAA
rnacentral:misc_RNA from 1 species